rnacentral:rRNA from 1 species
AUUGAACGCUGGCGGAAUGCUUUACACAUGCAAGUCGAACGGUAGAGGGGGCAACCCCUCGAGAGUGGCGAACGGGUGAGUAAUAUAUCGGAACGUGCCCAGUCGUGGGGGAUAACGUAGCGAAAGUUACGCUAAUACCGCAUACGAUCUAAGGAUGAAAGCGGGGGAUCGCAGGACCUCGCGCGAUUGCAGCGGCCGAUAUCAGAUUAGGUAGUUGGUGGGGUAAAGGCUCACCAAGCCAACGAUCUGUAGCUGGUCUGAGAGGACGACCAGCCACACUGGAACUGAGACACGGUCCAGACUCCUACGGGAGGCAGCAGUGGGGAAUUUUGGACAAUGGACGCAAGUCUGAUCCAGCCAUUCUGCGUGCAGGAUGAAGGCCCUCGGGUUGUAAACUGCUUUUGUACGGAACGAAAAGGUCUCUCUUAAUACGGGGGACUCAUGACGGUACCGUAAGAAUAAGCACCGGCUAACUACGUGCCAGCCGCCGCAGUAAGAC